GUCGCUUAGAGAUGAGCUCGCGUCCUAUCAGCUAGUUGGUGAGGGUAACGGCCCACCAAGGCAAUUGACGGGUAGCUGGCCUGAAAGGCGGUCAGCCACACGGGGACUGAGACACUGCCCCGACUCCUACGGGAGGCUGCAGUCGAGGAUCUUUAGCAAUGGGCGAAAGCCGACUAUGCGACGCCGCGUGAGGGAUGAAGGUUUUCGGAUCGUAAACCUCUUUCAAUAGGGAAGAAAACUCUGCUUAACGAGCAGAACUGACGGUACCUAUAGAAGAAGCCACGGCCAACUCCGUGCCAGCAGCCGCGGUAAUACGGGGGUGGCGAGCGUUACUCGGAUCUUAUUGGGUGUAAAGGGCAAGUAGGCGUCCCGAAAAGUUAGGAGUGAAAUCCUUUGGCUCAACCAAAGAACUGCUCCUAAAACUGGCGGGAUUGGGGCUGGAAGAGGAGAGCGGAAUUCCCGGUGUAAGGGUGAAAUCUGUAGAUAUCGGGAGGAACACCAGUGGCGAAAGCGGCUCUCUGGUCUAGAUCUGACGCUGAAUUGCGAAGGCUAGGGUAGCAAGCAGGAUUAGAUACCACUGGUAGUCCUAGCCGUAAACGAUGAGCACUAGGUGUUGAGAGUUUACUUUCAGCGCCGUCAAGAUAACUCGCUUAAGUGCUCCACCU
rnacentral:rRNA from 1 species